GACGAACGCUGGCGGCGUGCCUAAUACAUGCAAGUUGAGCGAUUAAGAUUGGUGCUUGCACCCAUUUGAAGAGCAGCGAACGGGUGAGUAACGCGUGGGGAAUCUGCCUUUGAGCGGGGGACAACAUUUGGAAACGAAUGCUAAUACCGCAUAACAACUUUAAACAUAAGUUUUAAGUUUGAAAGAUGCAAUUGCAUCACUCAAAGAUGAUCCCGCGUUGUAUUAGCUAGUUGGUGAGGUAAAGGCUCACCAAGGCGAUGAUACAUAGCCGACCUGAGAGGGUGAUCGGCCACAUUGGGACUGAGACACGGCCCAAACUCCUACGGGAGGCAGCAGUAGGGAAUCUUCGGAAAUGGACGAAAGUCUGACCGAGCAACGCCGCGUGAGUGAAGAAGGUUUUCGGAUCGUAAAACUCUGUUGGUAGAGAAGAACGUUGGUGAGAGUGGAAAGCUCAUCAAGUGACGGUAACUACCCAGAAAGGGACGGCUAACUACGUG
rnacentral:rRNA from 1 species